GACGAACGCUGGCGGCGUGCUUAACACAUGCAAGUCGAACGGAAAGGCCCUGCUUUUGUGGGGUGCUCGAUUGGCGAACGGGUGAGUAACACGUGAGUAACCUGCCCUUGACUUUGGGAUAACUUCAGGAAACUGGGGCUCAUACCGCAUAUGAGCUCCUGCUGCAUGGUGUUGGUUGGUAAGUUUCGGCGGUUCGGGCUGUACUCGCGGCUUAUGCGCUUGUUUGUCGGGUAGUUGCUUACCAAGGGUUUGACGGGUAGGCGGCCUGAGAGGGGGAACGGGCACAUUGGGACUGAGAGACGGAGCAGACGCCUACGGGAGGCAGCAGGGGGGAGUAUUGCACAAUGGGGGGAAGGGUGAGGCAACAACGCCGGGUGCGGGAAGCCGGGCUUCGGGGUGUAAACCGAUUUGGCCUGAGACGAAGAGAGAGUGACGGUAAUGGGUAAAGAAGCACCGGCUAACUACGUG
rnacentral:rRNA from 1 species